UACGUAGGGUGCGAGCGUUAUCCGGAAUUAUUGGGCGUAAAGGGCGCGUAGGCGGGUCGCCGCGUCCGGGGUGAAAUCCCACGGCUCAACCGUGGAACGGCCUCGGAUACGGGCGGCCUCGAGGGGGGUAGGGGCAUCUGGAACUGUGAGUGGAGCGGUGAAAUGCGUUGAUAUUCACAGGAACUCCGGUGGCGAAGGCGAGGUGCUGGACCCCUUCUGACGCUGAGGCGCGAAAGCCAGGGGAGCGAACGGG
rnacentral:rRNA from 1 species